rnacentral:rRNA from 1 species
GGAUAACCUGCCCUAUUGUCUGGAAUAACCUCGGGAAACUGAGAACAAGGCCGGAUAGCCCACAAUGCCUGGAACGGUUUGUGGGUGAAGAUAGGAUGGGUCUGCGGCGUAUCAGGUUGUAGGGGGUGUAAUGGACCUCCUAGCCAUCGACGCGUACGGGUGUUGGGAGACAUAGCCCGGAGAUGGAUUCUGAGACACGAAUCCAGACCCUACGGGGUGCAGCAGGCGCGAAAACUUCACACUGCAGGAAACUGUGAUGAGGGAACUCCAAGUGCUAUCACUAUGUGGUAGCUUUUCUUGACUAUUAAUCGGUCAUGGAAUAAGGGCUGGGAAAGACCGGUGCCAGCCGCCGCGGUAAUACCGGCAGCUCAAGUGGUCGUCGCUUUUAUUGGGCCUAAAACGUCCGUAGCCUGUUUGGUAAAUCUGUGGGUAAAUCAACCAGCUUAACUGGUUGAAUUCUGCAGAGACUGCCAGACUAGGGACCGGGAGAGGUGUGGGGUACUCUAGGGGUAGGGGUAAAAUCCUGUCAUCCUUAGAGGACCACCAGUUGCGAAGGCGCCACACUGGAACGGAUCCGACGGUCGGGGACGAAGCCUAGGGGCACGAACCGGAUUAGAUACCCGGGUAGUCCUAGGUGUAAACGCUGUGAACUUGGUGUCGGGGAUCCGUAAUGGGUCCUCGGUGCCGGAGUGAAGAUGUUAAGUUCACUGCCUGGGGAGUACGGUCGCAAGGCUGAAACUU